UAUGAACAUUAACUAAAACCUUUUCGAUAACUUUAUUUAACCUACUAUUAAAUCCUGUGAUUUUAUAAUUUUAAAAAACUGCAUUUCAAGAAUAUAUUUAAAAACUAUGUGAUAUUUGCAAUUAAAAUUUAGUUUAUUAACUAUUUUUCUACAACCAUACAUAAGAUUUUAAAUAUAAAUAAAAUUGAGGAUUAUCAAAAUCUCAAAAUUCUCUAAGAGGAUGUAGUUAACUGCCAUUUAAUUUAAGUUUUUCAAUACUACUUAAAAAUUUUAGAUUCAUAAUUGGAUACUACCCCAAGUUUGUAAUUAAUUGUAUGUUCCUUAUAAAAUUUUAAUUUUUUCUUUCAACAGAAAUUUAAAAUUUUUAUAUGUAAUUUAAAAAUUUAAUUUAAAUUCAAAGUA
rnacentral:rRNA from 1 species